UACGUAGGGUGCGAGCGUUGUCCGGAAUUACUGGGCGUAAAGAGCUCGUAGGCGGUCUGUCGCGUCGGUCGUGAAAACUUGGGGCUUAACCCCGAGCUUGCGGUCGAUACGGGCAUGACUGGAGUUCGGCAGGGGAGACUGGAAUUCCUGGUGUAGCGGUGAAAUGCGCAGAUAUCAGGAGGAACACCGGUGGCGAAGGCGGGUCUCUGGGCCGAUACUGACGCUGAGGAGCGAAAGCGUGGGGAGCAAACAGG
rnacentral:rRNA from 1 species